GGGAGGUAGUGACAAGAAAUAACAAUACAGGGCUAAUGUCUUGUAAUUGGAAUGAUGAUGACUUAAACCCUCACCAGAGUAGCAAUUGGAGGGCAAGUCUGGUGCCAGCAGCCGCGGUAAUUCCAGCUCCAAUAGCGUAUAUUAAACUUGUUGCAGUUAAAAAGCUCGUAGUUGUAUUUUUGCUUGGCGGUUUGUUGCCUUUGUGGCUGUAUCCCGCUUGGCUUUUGGCUUUUUGCCUUAUUACUUUGAGAAAAUUAGAGUGUUUCAAGCAGACUUUUGUCUUGAAUACUGUAGCAUGGAAUAAUAGAGUAGGACUUUGGUUCUAUUUUGUUGGUUUGGGAACCUUGGUAAUGGUUAAUAGGAACGGUUGGGGGCAUUCGUAUUUAACUGUCAGAGGUGAAAUUCUUAGAUUUGUUAAAGACGAACUACUGCGAAAGCAUUUGCCAAGGACGUUUCCAUUAAUCAAGAACGAAAGUUAGGGGAUCGAAGACGAUCAGAUACCGUCGUAGUCCUAACCAUAAACUAUGCCGACUAGUGGUUGGAGGUCGUCGUUUGUUUGACCCCUUCAGGAGCUUGAGAGAAAUCAAAGUCUUUGGGUUCCUGGGGGGAGUAUGGUCGCAAGGCUGAAACUUAAAGGAAUUGACGGAAGGGCACCACCAGGCGUGGAGCCUGCGGCUUAAUUUGACUCAACACGGGGAA
rnacentral:rRNA from 1 species